rnacentral:snRNA from 15 species
UUGCCUAAUUUGCGCCGGGGCCAAGGUGAUCGUGAAUGCUCUUCCCCCAGAUGGAGGCUUGCCUUUGCACUUCGGCUUGUUGAAGCCUGGAACAAUCCCUAAUCGGGCUUGCUCGGAUGCCUAUUUAUUGCUUGUAGUGAGGUCUUCGGAUCAUCCCUU